UGAAACAGUGCACAUUAUUUCCUUAGCAUUUGCUUUCAUUUUCUUUUAUACAAAUGCAUUUAAAUUGGAUUUCUAAAAUUUCUUAGACAUGGGCAAUAGAUUUAGAUCACUUGGUGGAGGUCAUGCCUGGCAUGCACAAGGCUUGGGUUUGAUCCCUAGUCCUGCAUACUCCAGGCACUAUAAAAAUAGUGAGUGAUACUUGGAAUAUCAGGACUCAGAAGGUAGAGGUAGGUCAAAGUCAUUCAUAGCUACUUAGUGAGUUUGCGACUAGCUUUGGCUAUAAGAGUUCCAAUCUCAAAAUAUGAAUGAAUAAAUAAUAAAUAGAUCUUAAAAAUAUAGAAUUUUGUUAUGGUUUUUACGGGACACUGACUUACAAAUCAGUAAUAUUUGUUGUUAUUGUUUGUGUCUCUUUCUCCACUAUAUUCUUACUUGAAUAUGUUGAAUGUUGCCCCAUCAUUUCUUGGUGUCUUCACAGAGCAGAUCUUCAUCAAACGUGUAUUGGUUGUCAGGCCCUGCCAGUAACUUGAAUACCCGCAUCUCUGGUCAGGAACGGGAACCCUCACACCGGGACAACUAAAAAGGGAUUUAACAGACUGUAGAUCUCCAGAGACAGAAUAAGCACACCUAGAAUGAGACUUAGGGUGUGACAUACAGAAUCCAUGGCCAAUCUUUCACCACCCAGGGGUCCUGGAGCUUCCACCUUUAGAGGCGGAGGCAGCAGGAACAAAAGUCCAAAGUCAACCUCAACUACAUAUGGAGUUGGAAGCCAGCCUGGGAUGUGUGAGACUCUACCUGAAAAAAAGAAAAGAAAGGAAAAAGUUAUUACAGCCCUCGACUGCAUCAGCACCGUGGGGAAGUAUAUGAAUUAAAAUACUUUGAAGAGAGGACUAACGGACUGGGUGAGGGGUAAACGGAGGAAGAACCAGCCCGGCUCAAGGCUUCACAGUGAACUGCUGAGUUCUCGGUGGAUAGUGGGGUCUGUGUCCUCAUCUAGAUCGUCGUCCUUAGCAGAAUCACCGGUGCUCCACACGGAAAAGUUCUUCUUCUCAAUCAGGAGAAGUAAUGUCAGGUUGAGAAAAGGAUGUGUGCAAGAUGAGACCCAACAUCAGCCUACCAACGGGGGAGAUUUGAUCUGGAGCAUUCAAAUAGGAAAUGGCUGCUCAAAGGAAGCUUCAAAUUUCUUUCGACUUGAAGAAGCUGAAUUGCGAAAGCUAUCUCUGUCCUGCUAAUCACCAGGUCCAGUGUGAAGCCAGCCAACUUUAGAGUUAGUUAAAAGAGGAGGCUAAUGACUCGGCUCUUUCCGGCUCUUUCCGGAGCUCAGUCGUGCAAGCCUGAGCUCUGAACUCCUCAGACGUCGAGCUGCACCCAGUCACUCGGUAGUUUCUCCAGUGUCCCCUGACCUGUGGGAUCCGUGUGUAAGGGGUGUGGCCUGGGGCUCUGUCCUGCAGGCUGACUGAAACCUUCACCAUCCAGCCCAAGGCUGAGGGGGAGCUGGGAGCAGACCAAUCCAACGUCAUUCUUGACGGUAGCAGUGGAGGGGCGACCUGGACUUCCUGGGAGAUCUUGAUCGGUUCAGCUUAAAAUGACACUGAUUAUACAGAACUCUUUUUUGAAGCUUGUUUUCUGCGUCAGCCCUGCUCUCCCUUCACUGAGUAGGGCAAGUACUUAUCUUAGAGCUAAACUUUUACCGCGCUUCCUAUUGAUUCAAUGUUGCUGAUCAAACGCCUAAUUUUUUUUUUUUUUUUUUUUUUUUUUUUUGGAUUCUGCUUUGUACUUAUUUUAUCUUGUCUUUCAGAGCCUCAGCUUUUACCAAACAAUCAUUAGUUACCCUGGGUCAGCAGAUGUGCUGCCUGACCCUAGAUUAUAACCAAGUGGCUUUCUCUCCGCGUUUCCUCAGAGCUUGUUCUGACGCCUCUCGCCCCCAGUAUUGUCCACGCUCCUUCCCGCGCACGCGCAGGCUCUCUGCUGCUUCCCUCCAUCAGAGCGGCGCAAUUCCGCCAGGCCCCUUGCUCCUAUUCAGUCAGGUACUUUGGAGGUAAUGAAGUCUUUUGGGAAAAAUAAACAAAGGAAACGCACCGGGUUGAUAUCAAUGGACUUGUUUAACUGUUUAAGGCCGCAUCUCCAAGUGUGUUGCGGUGUAUUUUGUAGAGGCGCGUUUAUAAUCCAUUGAGCUUUCCGAACAGCCCUCUUGCCUAUUAAGCCUGCAUUGAGAAGUGGGUUUAAUUUGCCAGAGUAGGUUUUUUUUUUUUUUUUUUUUGGUGAUAAUUACAGGACUUGCAGAUUAGCUUGAGUGAGUUGGCAAGGUUCUGUAGCUAAUAAAAAAAAAACUCACAGAAAAAAAAAUUGUUACAUUCAAUUGCUUCGUGGAUCUUCAUGAGAGAAACAUUAAACAAACCUGAUAGGCCAGUUUCCAGUCCACGCAGCACAGGAUUACGGUACUUAGGGAAAGAAACCUUUCAAGUGACACAUGGCCCGACAUCCCAAGAGUUAAAGGCAUAGUUCUCUUCCUCGGAGACUUGAAAAUUAAAUCACAAGAACAGGGUGAAGUUUCGCUGUUGCACUGACAAGACUUCAUUCAUGAACUCAGGUGACUCCCCUGCCCCAGCCUCCUGAGCAUCUGGAACUACAGGCGUAGGACAAAAAAGAGAAUUUUUGGAAGGCUAUAUUUUCACGAAACAGGAAAUGCUACACACGAGCAGCAGGUGCCGAUAC